GAGGAAUUAACAGGGCGCUUGAUAACCAAGUCCUAUUUUUUCUCUAGUCACAGUUUAACAAUGAGGACGUUCAGAACUUUGGAUUUCUACAGAAAGCAUCAGGAUGCAAUGACUCCAGCUGGGCUGGCCUUCUUCCAGUGCCAGUGGGAUGACUCCGUCACACACACUUUCCACGAGAUGCUCAGUAUGAAGGAACCUGUGUUUGAGUAUGACAGACCACCUGUGUAUCAUCCUCCACAGAAAAAGUACCCUCAUGGGCAACCCCUCAGAUACCUGGACAGAUACAGAGACAGCCAGGAACCCAGCUAUGGCAUCUACUGAUCUGAUUUGAACGGCUUCUGCUGCAUGUAAUGAACUGGGUGACCUCUGCCAAGCCUACCAAAAGCCUGGCAAGGCUGUGAAGACAUUAACCAAGAGUUCCUGAGGCUGGAGACAGAUUUUCUACUGAGACUCCUUUUUUGUUUGUUGUUUAUUGUUAAGAUAAAAUAGUCCCAAACACAGUCCUGGAUUAAUCUUUCAUUAAUCAUGGUACCAUCAUGUUCAUAUGGUAAAAUCAGUGGAUGUUAAUGAAAAAGGACAGCAGAUUUAAUCAGCUGCCACAUUAAUACUGUUUUUUGUGUGAAAAGGCUUGGUAUUAUGUAUUUGAACUUACUACCAAGUACAAACUAAGGUGAACCAUGAAAACAAAACUUUUAUCUUCUGGUGCAAGAGUUCUUUCCAUGCUUAAAUGGUGCAUCUUGUUAUCCUUAAUAUUCAGGCUGGUACUGCUAUAUUUGUUAUAGGGGGAAGGAGAAUUCAAGUCAAGCAAACUGAGUUGGUCAGGGAAAAUGAGGUCUGGGAAUAGUUCGGUAGUGAUUCAGGUACAGACAUACAGCUGAAUGCUGUUUGAGACAUGGGAAUAUGUAUUCUAUUAACGUGCCAUUUUCCAAGAUUCUCAUAUCUGAUGUUAUGAAUAACAGAAAUCAUUAUCAUUGUAAUUAUUAAUAAUUUUCACCUUUCAAUAAUACCACACUUGUAAAACUUUUUUUAGAUUAAUGAUCCCGGGGCCAAGAGAUAAUUGAAAUGAAUAUUGUACGCAAUGACCUUCAAAAGUAUCAGUAGAAACUGUGUGCAAGAGAAGGUAUCUUUCCCACCCCUUUUGUAAACCUAAUGCUUAAGGGUAUGUUCACAGCUGCAGUGUGUUUUAUUAGUUUGGAAUGCUAUUAUGACCUUAAGGUUAGUAAACAUUUUCACAUUUGG